rnacentral:rRNA from 1 species
GCGAUCAUACCAGCACUAAUGCACCGGAUCCCAUCAGAACUCCGAAGUUAAGCGUGCUUGGGCGAGAGCAGUACUAGGAUGGGUGACCCCCUGGGAAUUCCUCGUGUUGAACCU